rnacentral:rRNA from 1 species
GCAGAGCAUCCUACGGGAGGCAGCAGUGGGGAAUAGUUGCACAAUGGGCGCAAGCCUGAUGCAGCCAUGCCGCGUGUAUGAAGAAGGCCUUCGGGUUGUAAAGUACUUUCAGCAGUGAGGAAGGUGGGUAUGUUAAUAGCAUACUCAUUUGACGUUAGCUGCAGAAGAAGCACCGGCUAACUCCGUGCCAGCAGCCGCGGUAAUACGGAGGGUGCGAGCGUUAAUCGGAAUUACUGGGCGUAAAGCGCAUGCAGGUGGUUUGUUAAGUCAGAUGUGAAAGCCCGGGGCUCAACCUCGGAAUUGCAUUUGAAACUGGCAAACUAGAGUACUGUAGAGGGGGUAGAAUUUCAGGUGUAGCGGUGAAAUGCGUAGAGAUCUGAAGGAAUACCGGUGGCGAAGGCGGCCCCCUGGACAGAUACUGACACUCAGAUGCGAAAGCGUGGGGAGCAAACAGGAUUAGAUACCCUGGUAG